GUUUGGUUGGAUUUUAAAAGACCCUGUGCUCAUUGACUCUUUAGUAAGAGAACCUGUUGAAAUUCUGGAGAAAGAUUUCAGGAAGAGACGACAUGCUGAUCAAAAUGAGGUUUCUGAGCCUUUUCCAUGGAUCCCAAAUCCCAUAGCAUGUCUGUCCCCAAACGACAUGCUCAUCUUUCAGCUCACUAUCAACCACACCGACCGCCACCACAGUCACUUCCCAGUGUACCAGAAGGAC
rnacentral:lncRNA from 1 species